CCCUUAGAUGUUCUGGGCUGCACGCGCGCUACACUGACAUACUCAGCAAGUUUCCUUUCCCGAAAGGGUUGGGUAAUCUUGUUAGUGUAUGUCGUGAUGGGGAUAGAAUAUUGUAAUUAUUGCUCUUUAACGAGGAAUUCCUAGUAAGCGCAAGUCAACAGCUUGCGCUGAUUACGUCCCUGCCCUUUGUACACACCGCCCGUCGCUCCUACCGAUUGGGUGAUCCGGUGAAUGGUUCGGACUCUGGCUAUGCUAGCUACUAGCUACGUCAGGGAAAGUUCUGUGAACCUUAUCACUUGGAGGAAGUAAAAGUCGUAACA
rnacentral:rRNA from 1 species